UACGGGGGGGGCAAGCGUUGUUCGGAAUUACUGGGCGUAAAGGGCGCGUAGGCGGCCCUCUAAGUCAGACGUGAAAUCCCUCGGCUCAACCGGGGAACUGCGUCUGAUACUGGAGGGCUUGAAUCCGGGAGAGGGAUGUGGAAUUCCAGGUGUAGCGGUGAAAUGCGUAGAUAUCUGGAGGAACACCGGUGGCGAAGGCGGCAUCCUGGACCGGUAUUGACGCUGAGGCGCGAAAGCUAGGGGAGCAAACGGG
rnacentral:rRNA from 1 species